GUGCGCUUUUUCUAAAUCAGUUGUCACAAGUGCAGAGCUUUGAUGUUGUCAUUUUACGGGUCAUAUUUCUCCUAAUAACAUUGAAUAUUUUGUAAAAGUUCACAAAAUCUUUUUUUGCCUGUUUUCCGAGGUCGCCCAACUCUAUUGACCUCUAAACAACUGGGAGGACACAACGAUGGCGGACAAAAGCACGGGAACUGUGCAGCCGCUGGUAAAAAUUGGCCACUAUGUACUGGGAGCAACGCUGGGCUGUGGAACAUUUGGCAAGGUUAAAAUCGGAGAGCACCAACUAACGAAGCACAAAGUGGCGGUGAAGAUCCUGAACCGACAGAAAA